rnacentral:rRNA from 1 species
GCUGGCGGCAUGCCUAACACAUGCAAGUCGAACGGUAACAGGCCCGCAAGGGUGCUGACGAGUGGCGGACGGGUGAGGAAUACAUCGGAAUCUGCCCGGUUGUGGGGGAUAACGUAGGGAAACUUACGCUAAUACCGCAUACGACCGAGAGGUGAAAGCGUGGGAUCCGCAAGGACCUCGCGCAGCCGGAUGAGCCGAUGUCGGAUUAGCUAGUUGGCGGGGUAAAGGCCCACCAAGGCGACGAUCCGUAGCUGGUCUGAGAGGAUGAUCAGCCACACUGGGACUGAGACACGGCCCAGACUCCUACGGGAGGCAGCAGUGGGGAAUAUUGGACAAUGGGGGCAACCCUGAUCCAGCAAUGCCGCGUGUGUGAAGAAGGCCUUCGGGUUGUAAAGCACUUUUAUCCGGAACGAAACGUGUUGGGUGAAUAGCCCGGCAAACUGACGGUACCGGAGGAAUAAGCACCGGCUAACUUCGUGCCAGCAGCCGCGGUAAUACGAAGGGUGCAAGCGUUACUCGGAAUUACUGGGCGUAAAGCGUGCGUA